GGCUAGGGGCACAAAGUCAAGAGGACUCCUAAAGGCACCCUCCACUUACUGCUGUGUUUCAGGUUUGCAAAGAUCAUGGAGUCUCCUAUUACACAGACAGCAGUUAAACAAUUCAUGGGCCACAAUGCCACAGCUGGGCAGUCAAACAGUCCCAGUCCAGGAGUCCCAGUGCAAAGAACAGAGACUAAGACCCACAAAGAAGAGACUACAGUUUAUGAGUCACAGGGGAAGGGCCACAACCUAGGAGCCACAAAGAAAAGGCCAGACUCUAGGAGUCAGAGUGGAAGGAUCAUAGUCCAGAAGUUAUGGGCCAGAGGACACAGACCAGGAGCCACCAAGAAAAGGAACCAAUCAGCCAACGAGAAAACUGAGGAGCAGAGAGAGAGUUGGCUAACAUCACGUGUAGUAGUAAUAUGAAGUGGAUCUAGGAUUGGAAACCAUGUUCUGAAAAUCCAAAUCCAAUUCACUUAGGAUUCUAUGACACUGUCUCUAGGGGCACCAACUACACAGAUGUCCUUUUGUUAUUUCAGGAGCUUGAUAUGAAUGCAAUGCCAAAACAAAAGGCAUUGAAGGGAACCUUUGGGACUUUGGAGGGAAGGAACAACUGGUACCAAUGGCACAGGCCUGAUCACUCCCUCUGCAUUCCGGUCAUACUAGAUAUGUUUUUUUUUUUGGAAGAAAAAAACCAAUGGAAGACACUCCCCACCAUCAUCCUCUGCCCCAUCUCCUUCCCUUCUGUCUCAAAUGGCUCUUCAAUUGCUGGGGCAUGUGUCGCCGAUCUUAUCCCCAAUUAUCCCUCCUGCAAUCUUCAGUCUCUCCUUACCUAUUAGUUCCCUUUCUUAAAAAACCUUCAUUAGGUUCUACCAUCCCUACUAGCUUUCACUCUAUAUAUCUUUCACCCUCAGCUAAAUUUUUGGAAAAGCUGGCUCUACCCAGUCCCCCAGAUUCAUCUCCUACUUUCUUUUAAAAAAACAAAAAACAAAUUAAUUUAGUAUUAUUACAAAUGUUCAUCAAUCUAAACAAAGCAAGCUUUUCCAUAUAUAAAGAAAAAGAAGAUAGUACACUAAUCAAAUCACAAACCUUUAUGUUUAACUUACUUUUCUUCAAAUCUAUAUAAUAGAUCCUGUUCACAAGUAUUUCCACCCUCUUCCCACUCUCCCUGCAAAACAUAGAAUAUCCUCAGGGAGGCCAACAGAUUCACAUAAAUUUUCAUGUUUUAUCUUUCUGUUCACUUUCUGGAGGUAACAUUCUAAGUUUAUUCUUCCAGUAUCAGUUCUGUGGCUGUGUAUAAGGUUCUCCUGGUUCUAUUCAUUUCACUCUUCAUUAUCUCAUAAAGUUCUUUCCAGGUUUUUUUUUUUAAAACCAUUUGUUCAUUUCUUAUAGCACAGUAGUAUUCCAUCACAGUUAUAUACCACAAUCUGUUUAGCUAUUCUCCAAUUGAUGGGCAUCCCCUCAAGUUUCCAAUUCUUUGCCACCACAAAGAGCACUGCUAUAAAUAUUUUGGAACAUAUGGAUUCUUUUUCUCGUUCCCUAAUCUCCUUGGGAAAUAGACCCACAAUGGUAAUGCUGGGUCUAAGGGUAUAUACACAGUUUUAUAACUCUCAGUGUAAUUCCAAAUUAUUCUCCAAAAUGGUUGGAUCAGAUCACAGCUCUACCAGUAAGUAGCACAUUAGUUUUUUUUUUCCAUACUCCACCAACAUUUGUCCUACUCUCUUCUAAAAAACUCUCUUCUUUACUUAGCCUAGUUUCCAGUCUCAUCAUUCAACUGAAACUGUUCUCUCCAAGGUUGCCAAUGAUUUCUUAGUUGACAAAUCGAAUUACCUCGGAUCAAUCCUCUACCUCCUUGAACUCUGUAAAUUUGACGAUGUCAACCAGCACCUUCUAUGCAUUCUCUCCUCUCUGCAUUUUUGUGACAAUGAGUUCUCUCAGAUCUCUUCCAAUAUAUCUUACUGUUGUUUCUCAGUCUCCUUUUCCUCCAUGUCACAUCCACUAUUGGUGUCCUCCAAUGCUCUUUUCUCUUUUCCUUCUACCCUUUUGGUGAUCUUAGCGACUCUUAUAGAUUCAAUUCUAUGAAGAUGAUGCCCAUAUUUAUAUAUCUAACCCUAGUCUCUCUUGAGUUCCAGUCUAGAUAUUUCAAAUUAGAUGUCCAAUAGGCAUUUCAUACUCAACAUAUAUCUUUUAGUCCAAAAUUCAACCCUUCUCCUGAACUUCCCUGUUACCACUGAUGACCUAGGUACCCAGGCUCAAACUCCAUGUCAUACUGUACUCCUCAUCUUAAUUCACCCUACAUAUCCAGUCAGUUGCCAAAUUUUAUCUGUUCUUUCUCCACAUUAUCUGUCAUAGAUGAUGCUUUCUCUGUACUCACACAGCAACUACAUUAAUUCAGGCCCUCAUCACUCUAUAUAUGGAGAAACAGAAAGGUUUUCUCCUUGGUCUCCCUGAAUUGAAUCUCUUCUCACUCAAAUCCAAUUUCUACCCAGCUACUGAAGUGAUUAUUCUAGUAGAGGUUGGGAGGGGUGACAUAGUAGCAGGGAAAUCUUGAAAUUGCUCUGAAUAUCCUCCCAAAAUGAUCUUUAAAAAGUACCUCAAAAGGACAGAAGUAAAAGCAGGAUGAGUGAGGGGGCUCUCCCAUUGAACACAAGGUAAAAGGUAGGCAGAGAGAGUGGAUUUACACAAUAUAAGGGGGAACCAAUUGGAGGCAAAACUGCAUGAGGAAAAGUAUAGGUUGACCACUACCCCCACCUACUGCACCAGAAGUAGAACUGGGUGGGACCUGGGCAAUGUCAGGAGUCUGGGAAGCAGGUUAUACUAACAAAAAAGAACCACAGAACUCCCCUUGGGGGUGAGGUUCAGAACUCCAUAGCACUGGACCCAUAUACUAGAGCCUCAGGGCAGUAAAGAUAUCCCCAAGGCAAAACCCUGGAAGCCAGAAACUAAGGUAAAUAUGGCUAGGAACUUGCAGGACUCCCAAGUGGGAAAAUGAGUAAAAGGCAGCAAAGGAGACUCUUGACCCUGGAAAAUUUCUAUGGAGAAAAAGAGCAAAAUCCAGAAGCAACAAGAGAUGGUGAGAAACAAGCAAACAUGCAAACUCUUGAAAAAAAAGAAAAAAAAAGGAAACUGAUUGCAAGCUCUGGAAGACCUCAAAAAGGAGUUUAAAAGACAUGUAGAAAAAAUGGGAAGAAAAGUUGGAAAAAGAAAUGAAAGUAAUACAAAAAGAAAAUAAUAGUUUAAAAAGCAAAAUUGGUCAGACUGAAAGAGAGACAUAGAAAUCAAAUGAAGAAAUAAGCAUAAUAAAAACCAGAACUGACCUAUUGGAAGAAUAGGGAAAAAGUCCAAUGAGUGUCAUGAAAAGUAGAAAAAGUAGACUAGACCAAAAGGAAAAGGAUCAAAAGACAAUGGAUGAAAUUCAGUCUUUAAAAACUAUAACUGGACAACUAAAGUAAAGGUCUGACAGUAUUAUCUUUAACUUAUCUCCAUUAGUGCCCUAUUAUCUUUAAGAAGACAAAAAAUCCUCUUCAGAGACAAAAGUGCUUCAAAACUUGGCCCCAUUUCUAUCUUUCCUGUCUUCUUACUCAUUGCCCAUGUCCUGCUACUACACUCCUCUAUUUGUUAUUCACACAAACACUGUCUCUUCUUUGUGCCUUGCACUAGCUGUCACUCAUAACUGACCCCCACUUCUACCUCUUGACAGUUUCUGGCCUCCUUUAAGUCUUAGUUUGAAUACUUUUUCCUUAAGGAGCCUCUCACCUCCUAGUGCCAUCCCCUCUAAAGUUGGCCUAUCUCUAAUUUGUAUUCUUGUAAUUCUUGUAAAUCUACAAAUUCUUGUAAUAAUUGUAAUCUUGUAUACCUGUUUAUGUACUUGUUAUCUUUCCCCUUUAGAAUGGAAUCUCUUUGAGGGCAGGAAAUGUUUUUUAUUUUUACUUGUAUCUCCAGAAUUAAACACAAUGCCUGGCACAGAGUUGAAAACUUAAUAAACUAAUUUAAA